AGCGAACGUUUGCGGCGGGCCUAACACAUGCAAGUCGAACGCACUAGCAAUAGUGAGUGGCGCACGGGUGCGUAACACGUGGGUAAUCAACCCUUCAGCCUGGGAUAACGACUCGAAAGGGUCGCUAAUACCGGAUACGGCGCGAGAGGCUUCGGCUUCUCACGAGAAAGCCACGCAAGGGGCACUGAAGGACGAGCCUGCGGCCCAUCAGCUAGUUGGUGAGGUAAGAGCUCACCAAGGCUAAGACGGGUAGCUGGUCUGAGAGGAUGAUCAGCCACACUGGAACUGAGACACGGUCCAGACUCCUACGGGAGGCAGCAGUGGGGAAUAUUGCGCAAUGGCGAAAGCCUGACGCAGCACGCGCGUGAGCGAUGAAGG
rnacentral:rRNA from 1 species